rnacentral:snRNA from 1 species
GGAGCUGAGGGUGAUUGAGCUGUGCUGUCUGUCACCCCAUUGAUGUCCAGGGUUCAUUCAGCUGAUCUGGUUGAGAAGGUGGGUAUCUCCUUUCUCCCUCACUGCUCCUUAUGCAUUCCUUCAGAAGCUGCACACUAAGUAGAAGAGUUUGACCUUCCCUGAUAGAAGGAGGCCUAUUCUUCAGUCAAGUCACUGUGCUUCCAUGCUAGAACCUCCAAACAAGAUGUCCAGGUCAAGUUGGAUAUUUAUGUAUUACUUACAUUUUACAUCAAUGCACUUAAAGCUUUAAGAGGGAAAAACGAUACAUAA